rnacentral:rRNA from 1 species
CCUACGGGUGGCAGCAGUGAGGAAUAUUGGUCAAUGGGCGAGAGCCUGAACCAGCCAAGUCGCGUGAGGGAGUACUGCCCUAUGGGUUGUAAACCUCUUUUGUCGGGGAGCAAAAGCCUGACGUGUCCGGCUGUGAGAGUACCCGAAGAAAAAGCAUCGGCUAACUCCGUGCCAGCAGCCGCGGUAAUACGGAGGAUGCGAGCGUUAUCCGGAUUUAUUGGGUUUAAAGGGUGCGCAGGCGGAUUUUUAAGUCAGCGGUAAAAUCGUGGGGCUCAACCCCAUCCAGCCGUUGAAACUGGGGAUCUAGAGUGUGCGAGAGGUAUGCGGAAUGCGUGGUGUAGCGGUGAAAUGCAUAGAUAUCACGCAGAACCCCGAUUGCGAAGGCAGCAUACCGGUGCACAACUGACGCUCAGGCACGAAAGCGUGGGUAUCGAACAGGAUUAGAUACCCGGGUAGUC